CCUACGGGGGGCUGCAGUAAGGAAUAUUGGUCAAUGGACGAAAGUCUGAACCAGCCAUGCCGCGUGCAGGAUUAAGGCCCUAUGGGUCGUAAACUGCUUUUAUACGGGACAAAACCCCUCUACGUGUAGAGGGUUGAUGGUACUGUAAGAAUAAGGAUCGGCUAACUUCGUGCCAGCAGCCGCGGUAAUACGAAGGAUUCGAGCGUUAUCCGGAUUUAUUGGGUUUAAAGGGUGCGUAGGCGGACCGAUAAGUCAGUGGUGAAAGCCUGUUGCUUAACAACAGAACUGCCAUUGAUACUGCCGGUCUUGAGUACAGUUGAGGUAGGCGGAAUGUGUCAUGUAGUGGUGAAAUACUUAGAUAUGACACAGAACACCGAUUGCGAAGGCAGCUUGCUAAACUGUAACUGACGCUGAGGCACGAAAGCGUGGGGAGCAAACAGGAUUAGAUACCCCUGUAGUC
rnacentral:rRNA from 1 species